CGCGAACGCUGGCGGCAGGCCUAACACAUGCAAGUCGAACGAUCCUUCGGGAUAGUGGCGGACGGGUGAGUAACACGUGGGAACGUACCUUUUGGUUCGGGAUAACUAAGGGAAACUUUAGCUAAUACCGGAUGAGCCCUUAGGGGGAAAGAUUUAUCGCCGAAAGAGCGGCCCGCGUUAGAUUAGCUAGUUGGUGGGGUAAUGGCUCACCAAGGCGACGAUCAGUAGCUGGUCUGAGAGGAUGAUCAGCCACAUUGGGACUGAGACACGGCCCAAACUCCUACGGGAGGCAGCAGUGGGGAAUAUUGGACAAUGGGCGCAAGCCUGAUCCAGCCAUGCCGCGUGAGUGAUGAAGGCCCUAGGGUUGUAAAGCUC
rnacentral:rRNA from 1 species